ensembl:ncRNA C41G11.15 ncRNA
AUUCUUUCAAGCUCUCUCGCUCACUACACUCACGCCCGCGCACACACAACUCAUGAAACAUAACUCACAGCAAAACUCACGCAUGGAUGGCUGAGUGCGCGAAUGAAAUGCUCAAUGGCAGUGAGUGCCGUGGGAGGGAGUGGAAAAACGAAGAAGAGGACUAGAAGCAGGAGCAGGAGAAGAAGAAGAAGUAGCAAGGAGGAGAGGAGGAAGACGACUACCA